rnacentral:lncRNA from 10 species
GCCCUUUAUUUUUCUUUAUUUUAUUAUUAUUAUUAUUUUUUGAGAUGGAGUCUCGCUCUGUUGCCCAGGCUGGAGUGCAGUGGCACGAUCUCAGCUCACUGCAACCUCCGCCUCCUGGGUUCAAACGAUUCUCCUGCAUCAGCCUCCCGAGUAGCUGGGACUAUAGGUGUGCGCCACCACACCCAGCUAAUUUUUGUAUUUUCAGUAGAGAUGGGGUUUCACCAUGUUGCCCAGGCUGCUCUUGAAAUCCUGGCCUCAUGUGAUCCUCCCACCUCGGCCUCCCAAAGUGCUGUGAUUACAGGGGUGAGCCACCACACCCGGCCAGGACUUGCCCUUUCUUGAGAGUGGAUUCUAGAGUCCUCUGACUGGUUUAAAUCUGGCUUUUUUUCAUUUACCCAAUGAAAAAAGUGACUUUGAGUCACUUGAUAAAUCUCUAUGGGCCUCACUGAGUUCCUGCACUUGUAAAAUGGGAAUAAGAAAAGGGCCUUCUCAGAGGUUGUGAGGAUUAAAUGAGAAAAUGCAUGUAAAGCUUCUUGCACGGUGGCACAUAAACACUCAGUAAAUGGCAGCCAUGAUGAUGAUGAUGGUGAUGAUGAUGAGGGUGAUGAUGACUUUAAUUUUAUUAGUAGUACCUGUCUUUGUGGGGUGAGCAGGUGAGGGAGCAAAUUAUUUAGCAAACAGAGGCCCAUCUUUGGAUACUCAGUAAGGCUUGGUCAGGGCUGGAGCCUCUGGAUGCAAGCACUGGUGAUGGUAACCAUCACAGGUCACCCUCACACUCAGCAGACUAGGCCUGAUGGUUUCAGGCCAGGAGACUUCUCUGCCUGGUGCCUUUGCCUGGCACCCUGCACCUUGGUUCUUUCCUUCCACCAACUGUGCGCUGCUUGGCAAAGGUGCCAGCCCCAACUUUUCUGGAUUACAUUUGACAAGUUCCCCAGUGUAGGGCUCCUUUCUGUCCCUUCCACAAGGUUACAAUACCUUUUUAGACAGGCUGGAGGUUGGCUGGUUGGGCGUGGUGUGCACGUGCAUCUGUGCACAUGCGCACACAUAUUCAUAUGCAUGCUCACACACAUACUCUCAAGCCCACGUGCUCCCCCACUGAGCUUCUA